CUCAAAGGUCAAAUGGUGAAAAAUGCCAUAGUCGAUUGCAGGUUGAGUCUCUCCCAUUUCUGAGAGGACUCAUCACACCUAAUUUGAGUAAUUUCCUUUUCAAUUUCCUGGGCCAUUUUAUUUUACCUCUGGCUGCCCCUUGGAUGAGUGGAAAAAGAAACUUGGAGUAAGAUGAAAGAAGAAAGAGGAAAGACAAGAAAUCAAGAACUCCAAAGGUCACAAGGCAGGAACAUAAGAAAAGAAAUAAAAUUUUUCUCUUUGUAUUAAAAUUUUUAAUAUUAUAAUGUAAUAAUUAUACUAUAAAUAUCAGGGAACAUCUCUA
rnacentral:lncRNA from 1 species